UUGCAUAUCCAAAAGCGGAGGAAAAGAAACCAACAGGGAUUGCCUUAGUAGCGGCGAGUGAAGCGGCAAAAGCUCAAAUUUGAAAUCUGGCACUUUCAGUGUCCGAGUUGUAAUUUGAAGAAGGUAUCUUUGGGUCUGGCUCUUGUCUAUGUUUCUUGGAACAGAACGUCACAGAGGGUGAGAAUCCCGUGCGAUGAGAUGUCCCAGACCUAUGUAAAGUUCCUUCGAAGAGUCGAGUUGUUUGGGAAUGCAGCUCUAAGUGGGUGGUAAAUUCCAUCUAAAGCUAAAUAUUGGCGAGAGACCGAUAGCGAACAAGUACAGUGAUGGAAAGAUGAAAAGAACUUUGAAAAGAGAGUGAAAAAGUACGUGAAAUUGUUGAAAGGGAAGGGCUUGAGAUCAGACUUGGUAUUUUGUAUGUUACUCUCUCGGGGGUGGCCUCUACAGUUUACCGGGCCAGCAUCAGUUUGGGCGGUAGGACAAUUGCAAAGAAAUGUGGCACUGCCUCGGUAGUGUGUUAUAGUCUUUGUCGAUACUGCCAGCCUAGACUGAGGACUGCGGCUUCGGCCUAGGAUGUUGGCAUAAUGAUCUUAAGUCGCCCGUCUUGACCACC
rnacentral:rRNA from 1 species